CCUACGGGCGGCAGCAGUGGGGAAUAUUGGGCAAUGGGCGCAAGCCUGACCCAGCAACGCCGCGUGAAGGAAGAAGGCUUUCGGGUUGUAAACUUCUUUUAAGAGGGAAGAGCAGAAGACGGUACCUCUUGAAUAAGCCACGGCUAACUACGUGCCAGCAGCCGCGGUAAUACGUAGGUGGCAAGCGUUGUCCGGAUUUACUGGGUGGAAAGGGCGUGCCUCCGGAAAGACACGUCAGAUGUGAAAUCCCGCGGCUCAACCGCGGAACUGCAUUUGAAUCUGUUUUUCUUGAGUACCGGAGAGGUCAUCGGAAUUCCUUGUGGAGCGGGGACAUGCGUAGAUAUAAGGAAGAACACCAGUGGCGGAGGCGGAUGACUGGACAGCAACUGACG
rnacentral:rRNA from 1 species